CUCAAUGGAAAUAAUACAGCAAGAGCAUGGAUGUUAAGACUAGAACGUUGCUAGAUUUAGAAAUCCUGAAUCCUUAUCAAAGUGCAUUCAAGAAAGUAAACUACCCAGCAAGUCAUGGGUACUGAAACUCCAACACAUUCAAAGAAAUUUUAAUAACACCACUACAUACACACAUACACAACAAAGGGUAAAAUGUGCAAGCUAACAUUAGUUAACAUGUUAACUAACAUAAGCUAAAUUAGUCAGCUAACAUAACAUAUUAAUGCUACGCAAGUUCAUGCUAAGCUCUUCAUGUUGUAAUGCUUGCUACGUUAUUUGCAUAUCAAUACCUACUCUUUAUCAUUGAGUGUUACGGUAUCUUUAUAAGUUGUAGUUGGAAUCAUAAAGCCGCUCACAGCAAGUCACCUGAGGAGUAAGAUCAUAUAGGAACAGCGAGAUUUUAGCUAGUGUAAAGGGAGCCACUAAUUACUUGUUGCUGCAUCCACACAGAAAUGCAGCGUAAUAUAUGCUUGGGCUUUGGCUUAGUUAGGGCAGAUGUAAUGUAGAAUUGAAACGGUGAACAUCAAGAAUAAAUAAUUGGAAACUAAAUAAAAACGUUUUUAACUGGCGCCCAACUCAAAGGCCAAGGACCUGCAAAAAGAACAUACGAAUUCUGAAGGACCAAGAACCUGCAAAAGAAAACAUAGCAAUUCUGAAGCAGCAGAGACCCGCAUAUUUUGAAAGGACAUAAGGAAUCCCGAAGGACUACGGACCAACAAAUUCAUCACCAUUAACAUCAUCAUUAAAAAUAUUAAAAGUCACUCAUAUUACGUUAAUCACUAAUUAUAUUUAACUAAAAUUAAGCUAAAAGUUUUGUAAAGCUUAAGCCAAGCAAAUAUGUCGCCCCUUCAACAUAUGCUCAACAAAAUUCUAAUGUAAAAAUGCAAUACUUCGCCGAAUCGAGGACGCUUCGAGAUUUAAGAGGGGAAUAGUUAACAUUAGUUAACAUGUUAACUAACAUAAGCUAAAUUAGUCAGCUAACAUAACAUAUUAAUGCUACGCAAGUUCAUGCUGAGCUCUUCAUGUUGUAAUGCUUGCUACGUUAUUUGCAUAUCAAUACCUACUCUUUAUCAUUAUUAUCACCAACAAGAGCGCGUAGCAACUGCGUAACUCUUUGACAUGUGACAUUCGAAAGGUCAGGUAAAAACACUGAGUGUUACGGUACCUUUAUAAGUUGUAGUUGGUAUCAUAAAGCCGCUCACAGCAUGAUCACCUGAGGAGUAAGAUCAUAUAGGAACAGCGAGAUUUUAGCUAGUGUUAAGGGAGCCACUAAUUACUUGUUGCUGCAUCCACACAGAAAUGCAGCGUAAUAUAUGCUUGGGCUUUGGCUUAGUUAGGGCAGAUGUAAUGUAGAAUUGAAACGGUGAACAUCAAGAAUAAAUAAUUGGAAACUAAAUAAAAACGUUUUUAACUUGCAUAAACAUUUAACUCAACUCUUCUCUCAUACAGCACCCUGAAUGAUAGAAAGAAACAACCAAAGUUUGAACAAGUUUUGUUUUGAGCUAUAUCAUGGCUGCUUGUGAAGUAUUAUUUUGCGUGUUUUAUUUAAUUCAGUGAUCUGCAGCCCAAUUAAAGUAUAAAUUAUUGAAGCACGCAUUUUUAAAUAAGGAAAACGUAAAAUGCUUGUGAAGUAUUAUUUUGCGUGUUUUAUUUAAUUCAGUGAUCUGCAGCGUAAUUAAAGUAUAAAUUAUUGAAGCACGCAUUUUUAAAUAAGUAAAACGUAAAAUAAAAGUUUUCUAAGGCCAAAAUAUGGAAUUGAAGAGGGUGAUACAGUAAUACUUCAUUGCACUAUCAAUUCGAAGCACGCAAUAGAAGCCAACAAUGGUCAACAUCAAUGGCGAAACCAUUGAAUACAUAUUUCAAACCUCAUAUGGCGCGUUAAAGGUACGCAAACUUAUUGGUGUCACUUAUUGUAGCAGCGUAGAACUUUCGAAGCGAUGGAAUAUGUGCUGCAAGCAAAUCCAAAACUAUGGACGCAAACGCUGCUACAUGGAACACAAAUCAUUCACACACCAGAUAUUACGUUUAAUGUCACUUUUUUGCGUGCAAUUAAACCUUUUGGUCAACACAAGCACGAGAAUUGGAACGACAUGGUUUAGGUGCUUUUGAAACCGUUUAUUAUCACGACGUGUGUCAACUGGGUUUUGCCAAUGAGCUAGAGGGCAAAGCAGUUUCAGUAUCUUUGAGAUUACCGGCACUUGGCCGUGCCAUUAGCAGCUAAAACACAGAAAUUAAAGGGAGGACUUUUUUGAUUCAUUUUCACCUUGUAUUGAGGAAUCAUAACGUUGUUGUAUCGCUUUACAAGGACAUAAAUUCACCGAAAUUAGUUCAAUGGAAAUACUACAGCAAGAGCAUGGAUGUUAAGACUUGAACGGUGCCGUGUUAGAUUUAGAAUUCCUGAAACAUAAGAAACCCUCCUCCCAGAUGAAUCCAGUACUAGUGAAAUUAAUGAAAGAACAGAUCUUAUAAAAACUCCGAAAGAAACCAAAAGAGUCCUCACAUAAUGUGCGCAGCUUACACUUCCAGCACGGGGUAUUUGACAUUUUCCACUCUUCCUCCAGCCUUUGUCCGAUAGCAAAAAUUGUUCAAAUAUUCAUUUUCACCUACUUUAUACAUAUGUAUAUAGUGUAGUACGAUAACAUAUGUAUAAAGUAAAUAUAAUAAUAAACAACUAAAUGGCAUGAUAUUUUCAAUAAAUAUGU